UUGAAGUCUCACCCACCACUCUCUCUCUCUCUCUCGCCGUACUUCUAUCUUCUUCUUCUUCUCUCUGCCACCGCCUUACUCCCUUCAAACCCGGCGGCUACUGUCGCCGCCAGCCACCACUGCCACGGUAUCCCCUUUGUAGGCCUCGCAUCUGCCUGCCUCUCGUUCCCUCUCUAAAUCAUGAAAAAUCCCCAAAAAUCCCUAGCUUUCUUCCCUUUCAAUUUCCGACGAGAUUACCGCCUGAACCACCCUCUUCUUCUUCAGUCGACAGCAACGGUCAGCCGGACCGCCGUCAUCUUCCCUCAUCUCUCAAGCCUCUAUCACCGUCUCCCUCUCGACUCCGAUGAGCAGCCGCUAUGAAUCCCCGCCGCCUUCACCGCUUCCCUCCAUACUAAUAUAAAGAUUCGAUUUUUCCUCUUUCCCUUCCAUUUCUUCACUCGAGCUCCAUCCCUGCUCUCCAACAAGACUUCACUCAAAAGGUGUUGGAACUGAUUCUUCUGAAAGUAUGCUUUCCGAUGUGGAUGUGAUUGUUUUGGAUGAAGUGCAUUAUUUGAGCGAUAUAUCCAGGGGUAAUUUACUGCCCUAAACAAGUGCAAUUAAUCUAUCUUUCUGCCACUGUCGCAAACCCAGAUGAGUUGGCGGGUUGGAUUGGUCAGAUUCAUGGAAAAACUGAGUUGGUAACAUCAUCUAAGCGUCCAGUUCCGUUGACUUGGCACUUCUCAACAAAGACAGCAUUGUUACCACUUCUUGAUCAGAAAGGCACUGGCAUGAACAGGUGACUUCUUGUGGUAGAUAUUGCUAGAAACCAAGAACUUCUUAAUUAAUUAAAUACUUUAGAUAUUUUUUGAUUGUUGCCAUACAAGUUUAAUGAUGAUUGGUAUGCGCGGUGCUUCUCAAGUGUUCAGUUCAAAUUUUGUACUAUUACGUAAUUUGAGUUAAGAAGAUAGUCCUUUAUGCUUGAGUUUUAUGGGAUUUGUGGCUGAAAUCUUCCAGAAACUGCUAUUGUAUGUCACUGUGGUAUAAUUUUUAGUAUAGGUUUUGUUAGAUUUGCUUUAUUAGCUGCAGUUUAUAAUAGUACGAGAAAUCCAAUUGCUUACAAUUAUCUUGCCACCAUAUGAAGCAGGGAUCUGGACAUUUGUAGUUAACUUUUUAAUAAUUUGAUAUGUGAAGUGUUUAUCCUAUCUGCACUAUAAUAGCUUUUCCUAGACUAAGAUGAUUGGUCUUCCUUAAUUCCUUAAUUUCCUAUCUGCACUAUAAUAGCUUUGUCUAUGUGGAAAGCCUACACUUUUUAGAAUUGAGGUUUCUGAUGCUUCAUAGUAUACUUACUAAACUGCUCGUGCAUGAGUUUUUUGAGGAACAGGCUUUCUUUUUCUUUCUUUCUUUUUUACUCGAUUUCUUUGUAUAAUAAUGAAAUACUUGUUUACUUUUUCUUUCUUUUUUACUCGAUUUCGGUCAAGCUUUAUUAGUUGAAAUGCAUCUCAAUGCAGGAAACAUGGAUAAAGAGGAACAUGGUGUUUACUGUUUUAUUAGCUCCAUUUUUUGAUGAAAUAGACAAUAUAUAGCUGUAACUUGUAAACCCUCUCUUUCAGAAUUAGAAUUAUAGUAGGCUUUUACAGUUCUAUGACCCGAAAGAUGUAUAUUUACUCUUCUUUAUGUCCUGUAAUGCAAGAUAUUGGUUUCAGUGUUGCUGCAAGUUACUUAAACGAUACUCCUGCUCUGAAGAAGGCUGAUAUUGGAAGUGCCGUUCCUUUUCAGAUCGUCGUUCGUCUGUUCGUCGGCAACUCACGCACACCGCACACGAUCAAGUAGAUGGGAGUCGAUGAGCUAUGAGGACUACUACAAAAGAGAAGGCUGAAGCAGAGAACGUCGUUUCAAAUGUCUAGCAAGUUGCGCGCAUUUGUAAUAUUUUUUAAUUAAUCAUAUAGCUAACUAGAAUAUUUGUGUUGUUUUCAUUAUAUUUGGAUGAUAAUGUAUGAAUAUUUCGGAUGUUAUAUAAUAUAUGUUAUCGAUGGCAA